rfam:TPA: Bos taurus chromosome 2, whole genome shotgun sequence.
UCCCUGGUGGCUAAGGGGGUAAAGCAUCUGCCUGCAAUGCAGGAGACCUGGGUUCAAUCCCCGGAUUGGGAA